AGACGGCACACUGUCUAGUGGGUCUUCUUCGGGACUCCUUUGUGAGAACACCAGAACUGAGGUGCUUAUUUACUGGAGAUCCUUGGUCUCUAGCCAGGCUCUGCCUCAGCAACAUCAAGGUGGAGUAUGGACCAUAACCCUGUCUCCUUGCUUGCAAGAAAACUUGGGAGUUUGAGGAAGAAGCUUCUGAAGGUUCUGAAGUCCACCUCCCAUAAUCACUGAAGGAUGCCAAGAAUGAGCCGUAUCUGGAGACUCCAUCUGGCUAAGCAACACUAAGCUAAGGCUCUCUUCUCUAGUGCAGCUAUGUUGCUAUGUCCUGACAGCCUGUGCUGCCCUUAGUCGAAGGUGUGGAUAAUUAAGGUUUCUGGGAAGAGUCUCAAAUGAGUGAAGCCUGAGAGCCCUACAAAGACAGAUGUGCUUUCAUUUUGUGAGUCCUAGAUGGGAUGAAAGAUGGCGGCCGGUGAUGCCAUCUCAAGGCCUAUUUUCUGAAGAUCCAUUGAAUUACACCUGCUCCAGCGCCAGUAAGUACCAGCUUGGGAGCCCUUGCUGUGCUCUGCAGGCUGGCUUGCUCUGUUCGAUAUAUGUUGUUUCCAUUAUGAAUAGACUGACGGAAAAUCUCUGAAAACUGUGAUUAGAUGUUCCUUAUGUGCUCCAGGAAAUGAUUCAAUGGCACGGUGCCCAACUUCCCCAUUUCUUCAACUUCUACCAAGUACUUUUGCAGGAGCAUACUAAGUAACCCCUGUUUGUCCUCCUCUGUCCGCUCCAGGUGAAUCCCACCUUGGUCAUCUGGAUGAGCUGAGAACCAAGGCAUCUAUGGGCUUGGAACCAGGCACUGGUGGUCAGAGAUUCCCUUCUUUAGCAAGAGGCCUGGAAGCAGUGGGAAAAAUGUGAAGCACUGACUUCAAGGGGGGCAAGGAGCAAAACUCAGAUGAAAUGUGUAACUGAUGUUGGUUUUUGGCUUUUGUUUCUGUUUUUGUUUAGUGUCCCAGUGUUUUCAUCUCAAUGAGACAAUGCAUCCUCAAUUGCAGGAACCUUUCAAAGCUCUUUGUGUAGGUUGGCAAUGAGAAUACUCUCAAUGACAUGCCAGUUGCAGGAGCAGAAGCUGUAAUGAGGACAACAGAGCAGGUUUAUGGCCAUACCUUAGUCUUUGACCUUAGUAUGUUACCAGGCCCAAGUUUUCCCUCACUGUCUGUAACUAUUCCCUCUAUUCCUGACUAGGCUGGUUAAGACUCACUGACAAGAUUCAGGUGGUAGUCAAAACUCACAAUUGUAAGGAAGUUCCUGAAACUUACAAGAUUCACUAAGCCCCUCUCCCAAAGCUAUAUAAACAAUAAUAUUGGCUGGGAGGAGAACAUUGGACUGAUCAAACUACCUGAAACUCAUGCAAGAAACUCCCACAAUAGUUUCUGUGAAUCAUUGUCCAUGAUUAAGUGGGUUUUUGUUGAUACAGCUGCCUUUGGGUCAUUUGUGGUCCUGUAACUGUUUACCAAGACUCUUGUAGGUAACCCCUGAUAAACACACUGGUUCACUAAGUUAGGCUUGAGUGAAUUAUUUCUUUGGUUUGCUGUUGAUGACUUAUCU